rnacentral:rRNA from 1 species
AGUGGCGGACGGGUGAGUAACGCGUGGGUAACCUGCCUCAUACAGGGGGAUAACAGUUAGAAAUGACUGCUAAUACCGCAUAAGACCACAGCACCGCAUGGUGCAGGGGUAAAAACUCCGGUGGUAUGAGAUGGACCCGCGUCUGAUUAGGUAGUUGGUGGGGUAACGGCUUACCAAGCCGACGAUCAGUAGCCGACCUGAGGGGGUGACCGGCCACAUUGGGACUGAGACACGGCCCAA